GGAGAUGAGUAGAGUGGCGCACGGGUGAGUAACGCGUGGGUAAUCUGCCCUUGAGCUUGGGAUAACCUGCCGAAAGGUGGGCUAAUACCGGAUAAUAUCCCGCAACCUAAGUUGCGGGAUCAAAGAUGGCUUCGGCUGUCGCUUGGGGAUGAGCCCGCGUCUCAUUAGCUAGUUGGUGGGGUAACGGCCUACCAAGGCAACGAUGGGGUAGCUGGUCUGAGAGGAUGAUCAGUCACACUGGAACUGAAACACGGUCCAGACUCCUACGGGAGGCAGCAGUGGGGAAUAUUGCGCAAUGGGGGAAACCCUGACGCAGCGACGCCGCGUGAGUGAGGAAGGCUUUCGGGUCGUAAAGCUCUGUCAGAGGGGAAGAAGACUAUUAGAUUAAGAGUUGAAUAGUUUGACGGUACCCUCAAAGGAAGCACCGGCUAACUCCGUG
rnacentral:rRNA from 1 species